UACGUAGGGUGCAAGCGUUGUCCGGAAUUAUUGGGCGUAAAGGGCGCGUAGGCGGUGCCACAAGUCACCUGUGAAAUCUCCGGGCUUAACUCGGAGCCUGCAGGCGAAACUGUGGUGCUGGAGUGUGGGAGAGGUGCGUGGAAUUCCCGGUGUAGCGGUGAAAUGCGCAGAUAUCAGGAAGAACACCCGUGGCUAAGGCGGCUCUCUAGUACGGUACUGACGCUGAGACGCGAAAAGCGUGGGGAGCGAACAGG
rnacentral:rRNA from 1 species